rnacentral:lncRNA from 1 species
UCAUGUGUAAAAAAAAAAAGAGAAGAAACUGGAAAGGGCCGGAAGAAAGAAUAUGAAAAGGCCCGCAAGAGGAAGAAAGAGAAAUUCUCAAAAAAAAAAAGGAAGAGAACAUAAGGAAACUCAUCAGGAGGGCGGUGGCGCAAAAUUUGGCUACUAAUUAAUCCUUGCCGUGUCUCAAAAGAUCGUUCUUACUUCUUACAAAUUCCCCGCAGAUUUUCCGCGCGUUAUAGCCAUUUUCCCGGUGGACGGUGGUGCAAAAUUUGGCUACGAAUAUUUACUUGCUAAUUAUGGUUCGGCCAGGGAGGAUACACGGAGUGUAUAUGCAAUCUUUUGAAUCAAUUUGGCAUCAACUUACCGCCUUCAAACCAAACCUUCAGUUUCGCAAGCAAAACCCCGCAUGAUCUCCUCAUCUCUCUGCAAUCAAACCUUUCCAUACCAUGGAUAUAUACUUACCGCGUCGAUAUCAUGCAUGAAUGCCGCUGGCAAUCAACCGCCAAGUUCAUUACUGAUCAUGUAUACAAUCUGAGGCAUAAGGCAAUUAAUCUUUUCGUCUCCCCGGGUAAUUAUUACUCUCCAUUUACGUUACGGCAAACCUCCCUAUGAAUACCCCGGCAAUCCAAUGACCCAUCGAUCGAUCAUACGCCAUC